rnacentral:rRNA from 1 species
UACGAAGGGGGCUAGCGUUGUUCGGAAUCACUGGGCGUAAAGCGCACGUAGGCGGAUCUUUAAGUCAGGGGUGAAAUCUCGAGGCUCAACUUCGAGCUGUCGGUGGAAACUGUCUGGCUAGAGUCCGGAAGAGGAGAAUGGAAUUCCUGGUGUAGCGGUGAAAUGCGCAGAUAUCAGGAAGAACACCCGUGGCGAAGGCGGUUCUCUGGGACGGUACUGACGCUGAGACGCGAAAGCGUGGGGAGCGAACAGG